rnacentral:lncRNA from 1 species
CUUUCGCUUGUCUUUUAUAGCUUUUAUAGACUAUACGGUAUGGUUUUUCUCAUUGUUGAAGGCUGUACGGUUGCCUUUUAUUGCUUACAUCUUCAUUUGAACUUUGAUGAAAAGUUGUCUGAUACCAAGCACAUCUCCUUAUUUUUUUAUUAGUAAAUAACAGGCUUCGACCUUGCAAGACCCUCAUGGGUAGUCAAGGUCGUUAAAAAAAUCC